AAAAAUCCUGGAACAGCAGCAACCGCCGCAGCCUCCAGAAGGUGAGCGGUAUAUCCGAGAGUGGAUAGAGGAACACUCAUCAGCAGCAGCUCCACUGGCAAGCUAUGCUCCAAACCACCUGGAGACCUACAGGGACCCUCAGGUCCCACCUGCUCUACCUCCUGGCCCUGUUGGAGUUAAGAGAGGGAAACCUUUCUUCAC